GCUACCUCUGACUCCGCCUACCACUAAACAACACCCUCCAGUUUCCCGCCACAGCAGUUCAGAAACAGCAUGCAGUGAAGAAGUGUGGUGGUCUGGCAAUGGCGUUGUUGUCUGAGUGUUGCAGUCAUCUGGUUCCUGUCUUUCAGCCAGUCGAACUCAGUUUUCAUGGAAACACUUCGUUGUCGUGUGGGGGAGUCCUUAUCCAUAGAAAUACCUGAUGAUGACCAGUGUCCGUUGUCAAACUUCAGUGUUUGUACAGAGAAAAUUGGCCAAGUGUUCGAGUAUAGCAAGAAGCUGUCAGAGUUGACUGUGGAUCCACGUUAUCAGGACAGGAUCCAGUUGAAGAAUGACGCCAACGGCCUUGCUGUUGUAAUUUGGAAUGUAACCAAAGAAGAUGAAAAGCAACAGUAUUAUGUGGACUGUGCAUCUACAAUUCUAAAGAGAUUUGUAAUUCAAAUUCUAAGUAAGAAGCUUCCUGUCAAUCUUUUUAAUGCAAAAAAAGUUGGUUUGGAAGUACAUGUGACAGUAGAGCGGUUUCUAAAGUUCCACUGUUGCUUAGCUGUACUGAAGGGAUGAAACAUCAGUUAUAAAGCUGGUAUUGCUAUUGUAAACAUUGCAGCACUAUUUAACACAAACUAAUUAAGCUUUUUUUUCUUAUGGUAUA